UACGAGGGGGGCAAAUGUUGUUCGGAAUCACUGGGCGUAAAGGGAGCGUAGGCGGGUUCUUAAGUCAGGUGUUUAAUCCCGGGGCCCAACCCCGGACCGGCAUUUUAAACUGGGAAUCUUGAAUAGUGGAGAGGUCGGUGGAAUUGGAGGUGUAGCGGUGGAAUGCGUAGAGAUCUCCAAGAACACCAGUUGCGAAGGCGGCCGACUGGACACAUAUUGACGCUGAGGCUCGAAAGCAUGGGGAGCAAACAGG
rnacentral:rRNA from 1 species